rnacentral:tRNA from 1 species
UGCCUCAUAGCUCAAUGGGUAGAGCGCCCGACUGUUAAUCGGAGGAUUGUAGGUUCAAAUCCUACUGAGGCAGCCA